UACGUAGGGUGCGAGCGUUAAUCGGAAUUACUGGGCGUAAAGGGUGCGCAGGCGGCUCCGCAUAUCGGGCGUGAAAUCCCCGGGCUUAACCUGGGAAUUGCGUCCGAAACUAUGGAGCUGGAGUGUGGCAGAGGGAGGUGGAAUUCCACGUGUAGCGGUGAAAUGCGUAGAGAUGUGGAGGAACACCGAUGGCGAAGGCAGCCUCCUGGGCCAACACUGACGCUCAUGCACGAAAGCGUGGGGAGCAAACAGG
rnacentral:rRNA from 1 species